rnacentral:rRNA from 1 species
GUCCUAAGCUGAGGCCGACAGGCGUAGGCGAUGGAUAACAGGUUGAUAUUCCUGUACCACCUAUAAUCGUUUUAAUCGAUGGGGGGACGCAGUAGAAUAGGCGAAGCGUGCGAUUGGAUUGCACGUCUAAGCAGUAAGGCUGAGUAUUAGGCAAAUCCGGUACUCGUUAAGGCUGAGCUGUGAUGGGGAGAAGACAUUGUGUCUUCGAGUCGUUGAUUUCACACUGCCGAGAAAAACCUCUAGAUAGAAAAUAGGUGCCCGUACCGCAAACCGACACAGGUAGUCAAGAUGAGAAUUCUAAGGUGAGCGAGCGAACUCUCGUUAAGGAACUCGGCAAAAUGACCCCGUAACUUCGGGAGAAGGGGUGCUCUUUAGGGUUAACGCCCAGAAGAGCCGCAGUGAAUAGGCCCAAGCGACUGUUUAUCAAAAACACAGGUCUCUGCUAAACCGUAAGGUGAUGUAUAGGGGCUGACGCCUGCCCGGUGCUGGAAGGUUAAGAGGAGUGGUUAGCUUCUGCGAAGCUACGAAUCGAAGCCCCAGUAAACGGCGGCCGUAACUAUAACGGUCCUAAGGUAGCGAAAUUCCUUGUCGGGUAAGUUCCGACCCGCACGAAAGGCGUAACGAUUUGGGCACUGUCUCAACGAGAGACUCGGUGAAAUCAUAGUACCUGUGAAGAUGCAGGUUACCCGCGACAGGACGGAAAGACCCCGUGGAGCUUUACUGUAGCCUGAUAUUGAAAUUCGGCACAGCUUGUACAGGAUAGGUAGGAGCCUUUGAAACGUGAGCGCUAGCUUACGUGGAGGCGCUGGUGGGAUACUACCCUAGCUGUGUUGGCUUUCUAACCCGCACCACUUAUCGUGGUGGGAGACAGUGUCAGGCGGGCAGUUUGACUGGGGCGGUCGCCUCCUAAAAGGUAACGGAGGCGCUCAAAGGUUCCCUCAGAAUGGUUGGAAAUCAUUCAUAGAGUGUAAAGGCAUAAGGGAGCUUGACUGCGAGACCUACAAGUCGAGCAGGGUCGAAAGACGGACUUAGUGAUCCGGUGGUUCCGCAUGGAAGGGCCAUCGCUCAACGGAUAAAAGCUACCCCGGGGAUAACAGGCUUAUCUCCCCCAAGAGUUCACAUCGACGGGGAGGUUUGGCACCUCGAUGUCGGCUCAUCGCAUCCUGGGGCUGUAGUCGGUCCCAAGGGUUGGGCUGUUCGCCCAUUAAAGCGGUACGCGAGCUGGGUUCAGAACGUCGUGAGACAGUUCGGUCCCUAUCCGUCGUGGGCGUAGGAAAUUUGAGAGGAGCUGUCCUUAGUACGAGAGGACCGGGAUGGACAUACCUCUGGUGUACCAGUUGUCGUGCCAACGGCAUAGCUGGGUAGCUAUGUGUGGACGGGAUAAGUGCUGAAAGCAUCUAAGCAUGAAGCCCCCCUCAAGAUGAGAUUUCCCAACUUCGGUUAUAAGAUCCCUCAAAGAUGAUGAGGUUAAUAGGUUCGAGGUGGAAGCAUGGUGACAUGUGGAGCUGACGAAUACUAAUCGAUCGAAGACUUAAUCAA